UAAGAAGUGGUGUAGAGGAAGCACAAAGGGUUUUGAUCUCUUUAGGGUAGGUUCAAGUCCUAUCUUUUUAGG
rnacentral:tRNA from 1 species